rnacentral:SRP_RNA from 13 species
GGAAUCGCCGUAGGCUGGGAGACGGAGCACAAAGCCUCUCUUGCGCAGGAU